UCACAAGCAACUCACCCAUUUGAGAUUACUCAUCAAGUGCAAAAGCACUCGGUUUAGUUACUUCUCUCACAAAAGCUUCCAUGGUUUUCAUUUGGAGGUUUUGCAAAACCAUUAGCAUGAGCUCAUGGCUUACGUGAUUCCUCUCCUAAACUCCCUAUAAAUACUCAUGAAACCUGGCCAUAAAACUCACCCAACCAAGCACCAAGUCACAGAAAAAUAAGCACAAGAAAUUAGCUAUAAUUCCCGUAACUAUCCCCUGUUUUCGCGCAUCACCACCACCGUCACCACCGCGGCUCUGCCGCCGGCCAACCUGAUACAACCACCCUCAAAAUUUUCUGUUAUCCACCCCUGGAAUAUGCUCAUUCACUACUCACAAAUAUCAAGCUCGAAUUGUAGCAUUCCAUUGCCGAAACCGAACAUUAACUCACGCACAACCCCUUUUCUCUCUCUCCAUUGACGCGGACCACUACCGCCCAAACCACCGGCGAAAACCUUAUCCGACCACCUGACCACCUCCCUGUUGCCGCCUUGUGCUUCCUCUGCUUUCGUGGGACAUACGAGUCAUACCCAGUUGCUGCCUUCCUUCCUCCUUCCUUUUCUCUUGGUUCGUGUUCUGUUCAUGAAGACCAAGUUUGGUCUUUCAACUUCCUAAAUUUUUGGAACUAGUGGGCCUAUAUUCUAAGUCAAAAGGUCAAACCCAAUAACAAUCAAGAAAGCCAAGUUGGACGAAUAUUCAAUUUUGGAGCUCAGGAAGAACGGCCCAUCGAACGGGAAGUAUAAAAUUACGGUUGAGGUACGAAGAUGAUCAUGGGAUGCCUUAGAGUGAGGAUGCAACCACCAAAUUCAUGAUCGAUGUUUAGUAAAGAUAACUAUGUCUCACUAGUAAUAAUGGAUGCAUUAAUUAAACUCUAAGUUUAAUUUCAAGAAUUGAGUUAGACUUUUAUAUUAAUAUUUAAUCAAUGAUAGGAGUAUUUCGUUAUUAAAGUUUAUUUAGUGAUUUAAAAAGGUUAUAUCGCCUUGUAUUUUCCACGAGGGAGAUACCGCAUGUGACGCUCCGACUAAGCUAGGGUUUUCCGCUGCUAACUAAAGAUAAUUAACCUAAUUAAUGGUGUUUAGAAGUCGGGGCGUUACACAUAUCCUAAUAAUAUAUCUAAUUGGGAAUAUUAAAAUUAUAAAAUUAUUCUAUUAUCAAAAUUAAUAAUAAUUGUCACGGCUAAUAUUAGCAUUACCAAAAAAAAUUAAGUUAUAUAUCUCCUUAUAGGGGUGUAAACGAGCUGAGCAGGGUCGUGCUUUACCCUGUUCAUGUUCAUGUUCUUUUAACUUAUGCGAGCACGUGCCCGAACCCGAGAUUUUAACCGAGCUCAAAAAUCUGUUCAGCUCGGCUCGUGCUAAGCUCAGUUUGUUUUAAAGAUUUUGUGUUCGCGAAAUGUUCGUGAACGACUCCUUUAUUUAUCGAGCCGAGUUUAUAAACGAGCAUUUUUCAUCAACGAGCUUUCUUAAACGAACUUUAGAGUAUAACCACUUGAAAAUCUAACAAAUUAGAAUCAUAUCUAAUAAUAAAGCAUAAAGUACAUUACUUUAUUUCAUAAACAAACUAAUAAUUUAAAAAGAGUCAAAGAGCAAUAAUUUAGCAAUAUAUUUCCACUUAUUUUUAUUCUAUUAUAGAUUUCGACAAUCAAAAACAUGAUUUUUAUUUAUAUUUGAAAAACGUAUACAUGGUAAAAUAUGAUACAUAACAUAAUUAGACGAACUUGUUCACGAACAUAAAUGAACGAGUUGUUCAUGAACAUAAAUGAACGAGUUGUUCAUGAACUUAAAUGAACAAGCAUACCUAUGUUCGUGUUCAAGCUCAUUUAUUAAGCGAGCUUCACAAGUUGUUCAAGCUCGGCUCGUUUAAUAAAUGAACGAACAUGAACGAGAUUUAAAACAGUCUUAAAUACUUUAUGGUCGGAUUUGUACUCGGAAUCGCAUUCGUUGUGUCUUUAGAAUCCAUUUCGGAUAUGGACUCUAUCCAUAUGUUUUAGGAUUAAUGUCUUUUUAUGGGAUUCGGAUUGGGACUUUGAUUUCCUCGGAAUCGAAUAGGAUUUAAAAUAGUUUAACUCACGGAUAACAAAACUAGAAUUAAAAUAGUUUUAACAAAUUAAUGAAAGGAUAGGAUAUGAUCUUCGACUAACACCUUAUUCUUACAAUAAAUCCCAAAUGUGUUCAUUGUUAUUUUGUUCCGUUUAUUUUUCCCAAUUUUCAGCUUAACAAGAUCAUUAUCAAGGGGGGCAACAUUUAAAAAUACUACUUGGAUUUGUUCCCUUUCCCUAGACACUAUUUUUAUUUAAAGUAGGACAUAAACCAUCCCUAUCAUGAGUUGUUUGGUUUCAGAUUUGCACAAUGUUGGCCUUUGUGCCAAUGACAUGUCAAAUCAACAUGCAGAAGAUACACUAUCUUCACAUCAUACUUCCUCCAUUCUUAUUUAAAUGACACAAUUGUACUUUUGACACUAUUCAUAUAAUAUACUUUGACCAUCAAUUAUGAUUUAUACUUAACAAAAAAUAUAGUCAUGUGGGAUCUUAUUAUAAUCGUCUCAUCCUAUAGUUUUAUAAUAUCAAAUUUUUAUAAUUUUUAGCCAUUGAUAAUAAAAGAUAUUAAUUGUUGAAAUAUUGCAUUGGCAAACGUAACAAAAAAAUUGUGUCAUUUAAUAAAGAAUGAAGGAAGUAUUUUUUAAUUAUGAGGCUAGCAUUGUUCCACCUUUUAGCUUACCUAUUAAUUUGUUGUUGUUUCUUUUAUGUUUCAUUUCAGACAUAAAAGGCAAUCAUUCUUGUUUAAAUUUUCCUAAUCCAUUAAUUUGGUCCUACGUUUUUUUGUACUCCCUCCGUCCCGGAAUACUCGACCCGGUUUGACCGGCACAGAGUUUAAGGGACUUGAAUUGACUUAUUUAAUUUAAUAGGUAGUAGUUAAUAGUGGGGUAUUAUUUAAUGUAGUUAGUGGGAAAUAUGUAAAGGGGUGGGGUUGGGGAGAGUAGGGGUUGAAUUUUUAAUUAUUUUUUGUAUGGAGUAGGGGGUAGGUGGGUUAAUAGGGGUGGAGUGAGAAAUAAUAUAAUAUUGUUAGAAUAUUUCCAUUUUUGGAAACAGGUCAAGUAUUAAGGGACGGCCCGAUAAGGAAAACAGGUCAAGUAUUCCGGGACGGAGGGAGUAACAUCAUAGGCAAGGAUUAUUGGUUAAAUUUAUUUUUUGUAAUUACAGACGAAACAAUCAAGCAUUCAUACUUUUGUUCUGCCAUAAUUUUAUUAUGGGUUUAUUUUUUACAAUUUCAAAUAAAAAAUUUACGCAUAUUUAUGG